GUAGUAAUGCUUGUAGGCCGGCCUUUCAGUAAAUAGUAGCUUGUUCAUUUAAUUUGAUUAUUAUGUUCGUGUAACCACCUAUGGCUUCUGUCGGUAGUUAUACUAUUAUUGGUAUCCUAUAUAUCCUUCUAAUGUAUAGUCAGACUCCCUUUUGUAAUCAUGACUAGCAUUUUCUUGCUUGGAAAAUAAAGCACAUGCGUUGAGAAGUAUUAUUCCGUAGUGUCUACUGGCAAUUUUUCGACAAACGGAAUAUAUUAAUAUCGCGGAGAUACCAAUUACACCUGGUCUCUGCAACAAUGCAAUGUCGUAAAGACAUUACGGAUGCACAUAGCUGAAAGAUAAUAAUUCUUUGAAUUACCAAGUUUUUUAACCACCACCAUAUUUUUUCGAAAAUGUGAACAUUGCUCCAAUUUGUGUAUAAUUUAAAAAGGAAACAUUCUCUUACAUUUGUGAACAAUUUUUCAAAAUCAUACGAUGAGAUGUGAACAAAAUGUGGUCAUAGCCAUUCAAGAUUUUUUUUUUCCUCCCGUCGAAACGCACGUGCUUUUUGCUACUUCAUUUAAUUUGAUUAUGUUUGUGUAACUACCUAUGACUUCUAUCAGUAGUUAUACUAUUAUGGGUAUCAUAUAUAACCUUCUAAUGUAUAGUCUGAUUCCCUUUUGUAAUCAUGACUAGCAUUUUUCUUGCUUGAAAAAUAAAGCACGUGUGUUGAGAAGUACUCCCUCCGUCUCAAAAUUCUUGUCUUAAAUUCGUCGUCUGGAUACGGAUGUAUCUACUACUAAAACGUGACUUGAUACAUCAUAUUUUUUGAUAAUUCCGCGGUGUCUAUUGGAGCAAUUGUCUUAUUCCGUGGUGUCUAUUGGCAAUUUUUUGAUAAAGAGAAUAUAUUAACAUCGCAGAGAUACCAAUUAUAUCCAGCCUCUGCAACAAUAUUAAUGCAAUGUCGUGCAAAGAGGGACAAUGGUAUCCUCAGCCCACCAGGAUUCAAGUCCUGGUG
rnacentral:lncRNA from 1 species